GCCAACACCACCAACCACAACUACAGAGCUACUAUAUAUAUUUAAUUUGCAAAAAGGAAAACUGCUCUAUCAAUAAGAGACCCGUAAAAGGCUUCAGCAUUAGAUUACACAAUGUUUUUGAUCCCUUUCUCAUCCCUCCCAUUCUUUUUUUGUUCUUUCAAUCUAGCAAAAUGAAACAUUUUGGAUCUGUAACUGCACCAUGGCGAAUUGCCUUGAAAAUAAUACAGUCGUCAUCGUGCCAUACGAGUGCCCUCCUCCAGUGAAGAUCAACUGUGCCAAUGGAAGGGAACCGGUUUUGAAGUAUGAUGAAACCCUGUGAUGUGCUCGCUACUCGUGUGACAGUCAUUGCAAUGGCUGGGGAGGACCCCAUUACACUACCUUUGACGAAUUGUACUACAGCUAUCAGGGGAACAGCAGCUACGUGCAGGUGAUCACCCUCAAAUUGGAUAACUUUGGGGUUUAUAGCAACAACGUCCAUUGCGACAUCCGAGACCAGGUGUCCUGCCCUCGCUCCGUCAUCGUCUCCUACGACGCCCUGGUCACCCAACUCAGGAACACUGAAACUGGAGGCCGCGUGAAGUUACAGGUGUUGGUUAAUAAACAGGUAGUUUCACUGCCAUUCGCCAAAUACGGGACGAAGAUAUACAACUCCAAGAUGAACAUUUUUGUGGUGAUACCUGAAAUAAAAGCAGUGAUCCGUUUCAAUAGCAUCGCGUUCACCAUCGAUCUGCCCUACCACAUAUUCGGAAACAACACACAGGGACGAUGCGGUAAGGCAGAGUGUUGCAGAAAGGCUUUGGCAAAUGUAUUUUAUAUGAUUGAGGAAAUGUCACGAAUUAGACCAGCUUUAAACCGUACAGUUACGUUAUCCUGUACAGUUAUGUGCAAUCAACGGAUGGCCUCUCGCUACUUGCUCCUCACACUCAGACUGUAUUUCCCUCAGUUUGAUGAGAAAUUUGAGUCUUACUGCCAAGACUGUGUGUGCAGUUGUGACACGUACGGGGUCCAGAUCUCCCCCCAGGAAUGUCCAGUAAGCAGACCUGACCUGCGCUGGCCUGGGCUUCAUCGUGGUAAAUGAGACCAGCGUGGAGGAUCCCUGUUGCCACCAGCUUGUCUAAGUAUGCUGAGUGCUAGAUCUAUCUAUGAGUUUCAAUUACUAAGCAGCAUGUGGGCCGUUUAAGAGUCUGUUUAAGAGUCAAGGAUCUGACACUGUUUGUAUGUAAUUAGUAUUAGCCUGCAGGGAGUAUUGGAAAUUAAUAAGAAAUUAAAAUAAUUAUUUUGUUAUGUUAUAAAAUAUGUGUUAAUGGAUAAAAUGCACAUAGGUUAGCAAUUGAACCCUAUUAGAAUAAAACCCAUUCAGGCCUGGGAUAAUGGGAUGUGUCUUUUGUUCACCUUUCCCUUCUUUUUGUUUGCUUGUAUGUUAGGAUGUGAUAUUAGCUUGUGUUCAUCAAAUGAUCACACUAGUGAACUGGGAUUCAACCCGGUAAUGACAGUCCAGAGUGAUGCAUGCUGCCCAACCUACAGCUGUGCUCGGCAGAAAAGUCCCAGUCACUUGCACUAAAGAAGUUGACUUUAACACCCAACUCAACAUCAUUUCCUGCAACCCUUUGUCGUGCAACUACACCUGCGAGC